GACGCUGGCGGCGUGCCUAAUACAUGCAAGUCGAACGGUCUUUUCUAUGGAAGCUUGCUUCCACUGAGAAGAUAGUGGCGAACGGGUGAGUAACACGUGGGUAACCUGCCCAUAAGAGGGGGGAUAACAUCCGGAAACGGGUGCUAAUACCGCAUAGUUUUCUUGAUUGCAUGAUUGAGAAAGGAAAGACGGCCUUUGUGCUGUCGCUUAUGGAUGGACCCGCGGCGUAUUAGUUAGUUGGUGAGGUAACGGCUCACCAAGACGAUGAUACGUAGCCGACCUGAGAGGGUGAUCGGCCACAUUGGGACUGAGACACGGCCCAAACUCCUACGGGAGGCAGCAGUAGGGAAUCUUCCGCAAUGGACGAAAGUCUGACGGAGCAACGCCGCGUGAGUGAAAGAAGGUUUUCGGAUCGUAAAACUCUGUUGUCAGAGAAGAACAAGUUGGAGAGUAACUGCUCCAGCCUUGACGGUAUCUGACCAGAAAGCCACGGCUAACUACGUGCCAGCCGCCGC
rnacentral:rRNA from 1 species